rnacentral:rRNA from 1 species
GACGAACGCUGGCGGCGUGCUUAACACAUGCAAGUCGAACGGAAAGGCCCUGCUUUUGUGGGGUGCUCGAGUGGCGCACGGGUGAGUAACACGUGAGUAACCUGCCCUUGACUUUCGGAUAACUUCAGGAAACUGGGGCUAAUACCGGAUAGGAGCUCCUGCUGCAUGGUGGGGGUUGGAAAGUUUCGGCGGUUGGGGAUGGACUCGCGGCUUAUCAGCUUGUUGGUGGGGUAGUGGCUUACCAAGGCUUUGACGGGUAGCCGGCCUGGGAGGGUGGCCGGGCACAUUGGGACUGAGGUACGGCCCAGACGCCUACGGGAGGCAGCAGUGGGAAAUAUUGCACAGUGGGCGGAAGCCUGAGGCAGCAACGCCGCGUGCGGGAUGACGGCCUUCGGGUUGUAAACCGCUUUCGCCUGUGACGAAGCGGGAGUGACGGUAAUGGGUAAAGAAGCACCGGCUAACUACGUG